CAGGCCUAACACAGCAAGUCGAACGGUAAUACUAUAGCAAUAUGGUAUGAGAGUGACGCACGGUGCGUAACACGUAUGCAACCUACCCAAGACAGGAGGAUAGCUCAGGGAACUUGGAUUAACCCUCCAUAAGAUCGUAGAGUGGCAUCACUUAGCGAUAACACAUUAGUGGUUUUGGAUGGGCAUGCGCAUGAUUAGUUAGUUGGUAGGUAACGGACUACCAAGACGAUGAUCAUUAGGGGACCUGAGAGGGUGAUCCCCACACUGACACUGAGAUACGGGCCAGACUCCUACGGGAGGCAGCAGUGGGAAUAUUGGUCAAUGGAUGCAAGUCUGAACCAGCCAUGCCGCGUGCAGAAGACGGCCUUCUGGGUUGUAAACUGCUUUUGCCAGGGGAUAA
rnacentral:rRNA from 1 species